GUGUCAGCCGCCGCGGUAAUACGUAGGGUGCGAGCGUUAAUCGGAAUUACUGGGCGUAAAGCGUGCGCAGGCGGCUUUGCAAGACAGAGGUGAAAUCCCCGGGCUCAACCUGGGAACUGCCUUUGUGACUGCAAGGCUAGAGUACGGCAGAGGGGGAUGGAAUUCCGCGUGUAGCAGUGAAAUGCGUAGAUAUGCGGAGGAACACCAAUGGCGAAGGCAAUCCCCUGGGCCUGUACUGACGCUCAUGCACGAAAGCGUGGGGAGCAAACAGGAUUAGAUACCCUGGUAGUCCACGCCCUAA
rnacentral:rRNA from 1 species